UAAGCUGUUCAUUACAAGAUGGUGUUCUUA
rnacentral:piRNA from 1 species